CCUACUGGUGGCAGCAGUAGGGAAUUUUGCGCAAUGGGCGAAAGCCUGACGCAGCAACGCCGCGUGAGUGAGACGCCCUUCGGGGUGUAAAGAUCUGUCAGUGGGGACGAAACUUGACGGUACCAAAAGAGGAAGCACCGGCUAACUCCGUGCCAGCCGCCGCGGUCAUACGGGGGGUGCAAGCGUUGUCCGGAUUCAUUGGGCGGAAAGAGUUCGUAGGCGGGACGUAAAGUCAGGUGUUAAAGGCCGGGGCCCAACUUCUGUACGGCACUGGAUACUUGGUGGCGAGAAUGCGGGAGAGGUAGAGGGAAUUCCUGGUGUAGCGGGGAAAUGCUUAGAUACCAGGAGGAACAACGGUGGCGUAGGCGCUUUACUGGGCCGUAAUUGACGCUGAGGAACGAAAGCCAGGGUAGCAAAUAGGAUUAGAUACCCCAGUAGUC
rnacentral:rRNA from 1 species